rnacentral:rRNA from 1 species
UACGUAGGGUGCAAGCGUUAAUCGGAAUUACUGGGCGUAGAGCGUGCGCAGGCGGUUAUGUAAGACAGUUGUGAAAUCCCCGGGCUCAACCUGGGAACUGCAUCUGUGACUGCAUAGCUAGAGUACGGUAGAGGGGGAUGGAAUUCCGCGUGUAGCAGUGAAAUGCGUAGAUAUGCGGAGGAACACCGAUGGCGAAGGCAAUCCCCUGGACCUGUACUGACGCUCAUGCACGAAAGCGUGGGGAGCAAACAGG